rnacentral:rRNA from 1 species
GACGAACGCUGGCGGCGUGCUUAACACAUGCAAGUCGAACGAAGAGCGAUGGAAGCUUGCUUCUAUCAAUCUUAGUGGCGAACGGGUGAGUAACGCGUAAUCAACCUGCCCUUCAGAGGGGGACAACAGUUGGAAACGACUGCUAAUACCGCAUACGAUCUAAUCUCGGCAUCGAGGAUAGAUGAAAGGUGGCCUCUACAUGUAAGCUAUCACUGAAGGAGGGGAUUGCGUCUGAUUAGCUAGUUGGAGGGGUAACGGCCCACCAAGGCGAUGAUCAGUAGCCGGUCUGAGAGGAUGAACGGCCACAUUGGGACUGAGACACGGCCCAGACUCCUACGGGAGGCAGCAGUGGGGAAUCUUCCGCAAUGGACGAAAGUCUGACGGAGCAACGCCGCGUGAGUGAUGACGGGCUUCGGGUUGUAAAGCUCUGUUAAUCGGGACGAAAGGCCUUCUUGCG